GGAGCGUUGCACGAGUGGCUUAAGUGGGCACCCUGCUAAGGUGCUAACCGAUAAUGGUUCAGGGGUUCGAAUCCCUUACGUUCCG
rnacentral:tRNA from 1 species